GUGUGUGUGUGUAUCAGGUGUAAAUGCGAUGAACAUAAGUUUAAGGCAAAAUUCUCUUUUGUUAGUUUGUGCGGCCAAUUGAUUGGCUAAGUAGACUUUUUUUUUUUAAAUUAUUAUGUGGAGGGCCCAAAAGUUGAAACUGCAUUUGUUUUGGACUCACCGAUGGACGCAAGCGCACGCAAUGCCUGCUGAAGGCGGAGAAGGGUCCCCAUCUUUCGACCGGCGAGUUACUCACAUGUGAAGUAUCCGCAUUUGAGGUAUCCUGUGUGCGAUAAAUACCAAUCGGUAUUUCGCAGGUGGUCGAGCAGAGUUUUUGAUACAAACGCCCAUAUGUGCGUAUCCACAUAUCAUCCUUGGUAAUGCGCAUCUGUCAGGGAGUUAGACCAACAGAGAGAAAGUAAUAAAAAAAGCUAGUCAACAGUUGCUGUCAAAUGCCACCUACCGAGGUGAGAAAACCACUGCCCGGCGCCUGAUCUAUGCCCAGCAGCAGGCGCACAAAGGUAAUCACAUAGUCCUUGACAAAGGCCUGGUAGAGCAGCGUGUCCAGCAUGGAGGCACUGAAGACGGCGCCAGCGGCAAAGGGCAGCCGAAACAUGUAGGAGAUGUGCGAACCGCGCUCCUUCUCGCGCUGCAAUUAAGUGAGCGACAAAUUAACCAAUGACAACUGCAGCGAAUGCACCGCGCCGGGCCCCAUGAUACCGACCUUUUCCAUUUUGCUCAGAUGCAGGGCGUAUUUGUCGUGUGCCCGGAACUGCAUGAAGCGCAUGUUCGAACUCUGUGACAACUCGGUGAUGCUCUUGAUGCUCGGAAAGAAUCUUUAGUAGCAUGGCAGAAAAAUGAAUAGGCGACAAUUGUGUUGCAGUCGGAGAGUGAAUCCUCCUCGGCUGAAUUGGAUAGCUCCUUGUUGACCACAACAACACUCUCGGCG